GAUGAACGCUGGCGGCGUGCCUAAUACAUGCAAGUCGAGCGAACAGAUGAGGAGCUUGCUCCUCUGACGUUAGCGGCGGACGGGUGAGUAACACGUGGAUAACCUACCUAUAAGACUGGGAUAACUUCGGGAAACCGGAGCUAAUACCGGAUAAUAUAUUGAACCGCAUGGUUCAAUAGUGAAAGAGGGUUUUGCUGUCACUUAUAGAUGUAUCCGCGCCGCAUUAGCUAGUUGGUAAGGUAACGGCUUACCAAGGCAACGAUGCGUAGCCGACCUGAGAGGGUGAUCGGCCACACUGGAACUGAGACACGGUCCAGACUCCUACGGGAGGCAGCAGUAGGGAAUCUUCCGCAAUGGGCGAAAGCCUGACGGAGCAACGCCGCGUGAGUGAUGAAGGUCUUCGGAUCGUAAAACUCUGUUAUUAGGGAAGAACAAAUGUGUAAGUAACUAUGCACGUCUUGACGGUACCUAAUCAGAAAGCCACGGCUAACUACGUG
rnacentral:rRNA from 1 species